UAUAUAUAAUAAGAGAAAUGCAAUAUAUAAAGGCUCCGGGAACUUUUACCCUCGUGACACUCCCUCAAAAUUCAAGAUGUCAUAUUGUAUGAGAGUGUUGACGGUUCUCCUGUUUGUGGGCUUCCUUGCUGUUAAUGCGUUCAACGCAGAUCGUCAGGAUUUUUUCCCGCCCCCUAUUUACUCGCGUGAUAUACAAUAAUCUUGUAAGAGACUACUGAUUGUCAAGAAUCGGAAUCAGGGAAAUUUCUACUGGUAAAAUGUACACAUUACUUUUUGUACUUUCACUGAAUAAAAGAGAUUCAUCCCUA
rnacentral:lncRNA from 1 species